GUCUCUCCUUUUUUUAUUAAUUUAUGCUUUUUGCUUUUCAUUAAUUUUACUCCAGUAUAUUUACGUCAUGAGAAAAUCAUAAGAAAAAGAACAUUGUCAUACAAACGCGAACAUUUUUUUUUAUUUUAUUUUUUUUUUUUUUUUCUCUUUUUGCAUCUGUUCAUAUGCAAACAUAUAAAAAAUGUCCAUUAUGUUGAUUAAGAGAACAAAAAUGGAAGGAAGUAAAAUAAAACAACUAAAUUAGAACAAUGAAGAAAAUUUUUUAUACAAAUGUAAGCUGUGGGUACUUUAACUAUGUACAUAGAAACAUGGGAAGUUGCAGCAAAAAUACUAAACGAAAUUAUAAAAAUAAAAAAUUAAAUUUGUGCACAGCUUUUAAUAACAACAUAAACAUAUGUCAUGAAAGGUUAGACGAUAAUUUCCAUAUAUAUAAUAGCAGUUCAACUGUUUUCAAACUUUUAAAAUAUAUCCAUAUAUUUCAAAAACAAUAUAAAAAUGGAAAUGACAAAACCGAAACAAAUAAAAUAAAAAAAAACUUUAAUGAAAAACUUGAGCAAAUAUUUUUGUGCUACAUUUCUAUGUAUAAUAAAGUGGAUAUAAAUUUAUUUUUAAAAUUAACAACAGACAUGCUAAACCAUCCUAUGGUAAGAAAAAAAAUAACUAAUAAUAAUGAAUUUUACCAACAACUACUCUUUGACAUAAUUAAAUAUACACAAAGAGAAGGAACAAACAAAAUAACUGUUUAUAAAAAUUUAAUAAAAAUUAUAUCGGCGCUUUUAAAAAAUGAUACCUUUUUAGAAAAACAGUUUGAAAGAGUAUUUCUUUCACAGGCGCUAAAUGUUAUCAAUAUAAAAAAAAAGAACAUUACCGAAGCCGAACAAAUAAAUGAAGAUACAGUUGUAAACUGUAAAAAAAACACAAAUGGAAAACUAGAAAUAGAUAAAAUGAUAAAUGAUGUGACUUUUUUAUUUUCUUGUAUUGCAUUAUAUAAUAAAACAUUAAAUAAAAGGAAGAUGUGUUAUAUGAAUGAUAAUGAAAAAAAAAAAAACACAUCGCCACUACAUUUUUCCAAUAAUAGUAAUAAUAAUAAUAAUAAUAAUGAUAACAAUAACAAUAACAAUAACAAUAGUAAUAAUAAUAAUAAUAAUAAUAAUAAUAAUCCAUUUUUAAUUGAAGAAAAGAAAAAAAUUAUACGUGAUUAUGUACCAAUUAUUUUAAACAUUAUGAGUACAUUAAACACGUGUACAAGCUUUAACGAAUAUGACAUCUGCAAUAUAUUUGAUUUUUUACAUGAGUUUAAUCAGAAUCAUG
rnacentral:lncRNA from 1 species